rnacentral:rRNA from 1 species
UAGGGAAUCUUCCGCAAUGGGCGAAAGCCUGACGGAGCAACGCCGCGUGAGUGAUGAAGGUCUUCGGAUCGUAAAACUCUGUUAUUAGGGAAGAACAAAUGUGUAAGUAACUAUGCACGUCUUGACGGUACCUAAUCAGAAAGCCACGGCUAACUACGUGCCAGCAGCCGCGGUACUACGUAGGUGGCAAGCGUUAUCCGGAAUUAUUGGGCGUAAAGCGCGCGUAGGCGGUUUUUUAAGUCUGAUGUGAAAGCCCACGGCUCAACCGUGGAGGGUCAUUGGAAACUGGAAAACUUGAGUGCAGAAGAGGAAAGUGGAAUUCCAUGUGUAGCGGUGAAAUGCGCAGAGAUAUGGAGGAACACCAGUGGCGAAGGCGACUUUCUGGUCUGUAACUGACGCUGAUGUGCGAAAGCGUGGGGAUCAAACAGG